rnacentral:rRNA from 1 species
CCUACGGGCGGCUGCAGUGAGGAAUAUUGGUCAAUGGCCGGAAGGCUGAACCAGCCAUGCCGCGUGAAGGUCAGUGCCCUAUGGGCGUUAAACUUCUUUUGUGCGGGAGCAAUAAUGGUCACGUGUGGCCAGACGAGAGUACCGUACGAAUAAGCAUCGGCUAACGCCGUGCCAGCGGCCGCGGUAAUACGGGGGAUGCAAGCGUUAUCCGGAUUUAUUGGGUUUAAAGGGUGCGUAGGCUGUGAGGUAAGUCAGCGGUGAAAUGCCCCCGCUCAACGGGGUGGAGUGCCAUUGAUACUGCCUGGCUUGAAUGCGGAUGCCGUGGGAGGAAUGUGUGGUGUAGCGGUGAAAUGCAUAGAGAUCACACAGAACACCGAUUGCGAAGGCAUCUCACGAAUCCGCGAUUGACGCUGAUGCACGAAAGCGUGGGUAUCAAACAGGAUUAGAUACCCUGGUAGUC